rnacentral:lncRNA from 1 species
UUAUAUCAAAAUACAUUAAAGUGAGAGCUUGUUUUAUAUGUUUAAUUGCAAGGAACAUAUGUGAAAUCAUAUUAUAAAUUAGAUUAACCAUUUGAGAGCUAUUAGCUUAUUUUGAGUGUUAUGAAUUAAAUAAUUUCAUACUUCAUGUAACUAUUGAGGAGCUGACACCUCAGCUUGCAUCACUCAAUUAGAAGCUUGGAGAAGAUUGGUAGUGUCAUGGUGCUUCUAAUCUUG